rnacentral:rRNA from 1 species
UGGGGAAUUUUGGACAAUGGGGGAAACCCUGAUCCAGCCAUCCCGCGUGUGCGAUGAAGGCCUUCGGGUUGUAAAGCACUUUUGGCAGGAAAGAAACGUCAUGGGUUAAUACCCCGUGAAACUGACGGUACCUGCAGAAUAAGCACCGGCUAACUACGUGCCAGCAGCCGCGGUAAUACGUAGGGUGCAAGCGUUAAUCGGAAUUACUGGGCGUAAAGCGUGCGCAGGCGGUUCGGAAAGAAAGAUGUGAAAUCCCAGAGCUCAACUUUGGAACUGCAUUUUUAACUACCGGGCUAGAGUGUGGCAGAGGGAGGUGGAAUUCCGCGUGUAGCAGUGAAAUGCGUAGAUAUGCGGAGGAACACCGAUGGCGAAGGCAGCCUCCUGGGAUAACCCUGACGCUCAUGCACGAAAGCGUGGGGAGCAAACAGG